UUGUUUGGCUAUCUUGGUUUUGUCCAAUACACGUGUAAGUCUGUUCUGCUGUUCAUAAUUGAAGCUUUUCUUUGCUUUAUGAUCUAAUCUAAAGUCUGAUCUAGAGCCUCUUGAAUUGGAUUGCUGUCCUGUUCUGUCUUGCCUACCUUUACUUAGCAUAGCCAAUCUGGUUUGAGAAGCAUGUUCACUCUCUGGUUUUUGGAAUUUGGAAAGGGGUUUGUGUGCUUGGUAGCAUCUUAGGUGGUGGUGGUCUAAAAGACUCUCCAGCCCUGAACUAACAAGGG
rnacentral:lncRNA from 1 species